rnacentral:miRNA from 1 species
CCCACACUUCUAUUUAGAAUG